GAUGAAGAACGUAGCGAAAUGCGAUACGUAGUGUGAAUUGCAGAAUUCAGUGAAACAUCGAAUCUUUGAACGCACAUUGCACCUCUCGGUAUUCCGGGAGGUAUGCCUGUUCGAGCGUCAUUUGUACCCUCAAGCUCUGCUUGGUGUUGGGUGUUUGUUCCGCCUCUGUGUGUGAACUCGCCUCAAAACAAUUGGCAGCCGGCGUACUUGUUUCGGAGCGCAGCACAUUUUGCGAUCCAGAUCAACGUACAGCGGCAUCCAAGAAGCCUUAUUUAACGCUCUUGACCUCGGAUCAGGUAGGGAUACCCGCUGAACUUAAGCAUAUCAAUAAGCGGAGGA
rnacentral:misc_RNA from 1 species